rnacentral:rRNA from 1 species
GAUGAACGCUGGCGGCGUGCCUAAUACAUGCCAGUCGAGCGAACAGACGAGGAGCUUGCUCCUCUGACGUUAGCGGCGGACGGGUGAGUAACACGUGGAUAACCUACCUAUAAGACUGGGAUAACUUCGGGAAACCGGAGCUAAUACCGGAUAAUAUAUUGAACCGCAUGGUUCAAUAGUGAAAGACGGUUUUGCUGUCACUUAUAGAUGGAUCCGCGCCGCAUUAGCUAGUUGGUAAGGUAACGGCUUACCAAGGCAACGAUGCGUAGCCGACCUGAGAGGGUGAUCGGCCACACUGGAACUGAGACACGGUCCAGACUCCUACGGGAGGCAGCAGUAGGGAAUCUUCCGCAAUGGGCGAAAGCCUGACGGAGCAACGCCGCGUGAGUGAUGAAGGUCUUCGGAUUGUAAAACUCUGUUAUUAGGGAAGAACAAAUGUGUAAGUAACUAUGCACGUCUUGACGGUACCUAAUCAGAAAGCCACGGCUAACUACGUG